GGGAGCCUGAGAGAUGGCUACCACUUCUAAGGAAGGCAGCAGGCGCGCAAAUUACCCAAUCCCGACACGGGGAGGUAGUGACAAUAAAAUAACGAUGCGGGCCUCGACAAGAGCCUCGCAAUCGGAAUGAGCACGGCUCAAACCCCCUAACGAGUAGCGAUUGGAGGGCAAGUCUGGUGCCAGCAGCCGCGGUAAUUCCAGCUCCAAUAGCGUAUAUUAAAGUUGUUGCAGUUAAAAAGCUCGUAGUUGGAUCUCGGGGUGAGGCGAGCCCGGUCCGCCGCGAGCUCGGCGAGUACCGGCCCGCCCACCUCCUCCCUCCGGCGCCCCGUCCCCUCGUUGACUCGGGUGGGGACGUCGAAAGGGGGGGAGGGUGGGGGCAACUCCACCUCUCCUCUCCUGGGGCCCGGACCUUUUACCUUGAGGAAAUUAGAGUGUUCAAAGCGGGCGCGAAUCUUUCUCGCCGUUGAAUACGUCAGCAUGGG
rnacentral:rRNA from 1 species